GACGAACGCUGGCGGCGUGCUUAACACAUGCAAGUCGAACGGAAAGGCCCUGCUUGCAGGGUACUCGAGUGGCGAACGGGUGAGUAACACGUGGGUGAUCUGCCCUGCACUUCGGGAUAAGCCUGGGAAACUGGGUCUAAUACCGGAUAGGAGCCAUUUUUAGUGUGAUGGUUGGAAAGUUUUUUCGGUGUAGGAUGAGCUCGCGGCCUAUCAGCUUGUUGGUGGGGUAAUGGCCUACCAAGGCGGCGACGGGUAGCCGGCCUGAGAGGGUGUACGGCCACAUUGGGACUGAGAUACGGCCCAGACUCCUACGGGAGGCAGCAGUGGGGAAUAUUGCACAAUGGGCGCAAGCCUGAUGCAGCGACGCCGCGUGGGGGAGGACGGCCUUCGGGUUGUAAACUCCUUUCGCUAGGGACGAAGCUUUUUGUGACGGUACCUAGAUAAGAAGCACCGGCUAACUACGUG
rnacentral:rRNA from 1 species